UACAGAGGUGGCAAGCGUUGUUCGGAAUUACUGGGCGUAAAGGGCGCGUAGGCGGUCUUGUCAGUCCCUUGUGAAAUCCCCCGGCUCAACUGGGGAACUGCACGGGAAACAGCAGGGCUUGAGUUCGGGAGAGGGAUGUGGAAUUCCAGGUGUAGCGGUGAAAUGCGUAGAUAUCUGGAGGAACACCGGUGGCGAAGGCGGCAUCCUGGACCGGUAUUGACGCUGAGGCGCGAAAGCCAGGGAGCAAACGGG
rnacentral:rRNA from 1 species